CUGCAGGGCUCUGCACCAGGCCCGGUGGGUGCAGGUGCUGCUUUGCACAUCAGCCGCUCAGCUGGGAGGCUGCGUUUGUGCACACCGCUGUUGUCGAGCAGACCUCUGUGUUUUGCAGCAUUUGCUAAUAUUGCUUCAUUCAGGCUGGAUUUUUCCUUGAAUUUCCGGAGCUCGCUGGCAGGAAGCCAUCUGUGAUGGUAGCUAAAAUGGGAACAGAAGAGGACUCGCUAUGAAACGCUCCUCACAAGCACUCCCUCAGGGCAUGCGCUGUGGUUCCUGCCUUGCCAGAAGCAGUCCAUUUCCGAAGAAUAAUUCCCAUCUGCCUUGACUCACUCUCCAGCACAUAAAGGAAGAAGUCUCUUUUCUGAGCAUGGAUGAAAUAGGAAACUUCUCAUAUCAAUGAAGAAUGAGGCUUUGAAUUCUGGGGUCCCUACCACGGAGACCAAAAAUAACUUGAAGUCCUGCAAUAUUAAUUAACUUCAUUAUGAUGAGUCUGGCUUUUCUGUUCAUAUUUUUCCAGCUUUUGUGUUCCUGGCCUGCGUGCGUUACGUGUGUAUUCCCCUUCUUUCCUCUCGCUGAAGCUGAAGAUGCAAUCACAUCUUCGAACCAUCUGUUUUUUAAUUUAUUAUUUUCCCCCAUUGCAUUGAUGGGUUUUCUCAUUUUUCUGUCAGGCUAACAGUUUGGCUCCUGUUUAUCUAAGAUAUGUUAACACGCUGUUCCUCUUCUGGGCACUCACUCAGCCUAUUGUAUUUUCUGAAAUUAAACACCAGAGAUUUUUUAACAUUAUUUUCUUCAUCAGCCCCAGGAAUAUCCUCUACCAUUACAUCCUCUCUUCCUCCUUUUGUUAUUUCAGUGUACAUUUUACGACUCCAGCUAAAUUUAGGAUAAGAUCUUUCUUUUCCUGUCCUCUCCAGACUAUGCUCAAGAUGCAUGGGGGACGCUCUCAUAUCUGCUGAGCAACCCACACGUGUGAAGCCAGGGCUCCCCAGAGCAGGCUCUCCGCAGAGCUCUUCACAUGGUCCCCAAGGGCAAGACUUCAGGUGACAGGAGCCAACAUGAGCACGGUGUGCUGCUUGGCCUACCUGUGCUCAAGGCUCCUUCUCAUCGCCUUGAGAAAUUUCAAGCAAAGGGCAGAUGAGGCAUGGAGGAGCACGGUCAGUCGACAUGGUGGGCAUGGGUUGGUGGUUGGACUUGAUCUUAGAGAUCUAUUCCAACUUUAAGGAUUCCAUGAUUCCAUGAAAUACCUUUCAGGUGUUGGCCCAGCAAGGUGCCCAUACAUGAGUCCCUUGCACUGCAUUUGCUGCCUGCAGACAGCUGCAGCCACAGCCAGGUUGACUUGUCAUCCCAGAACACGGCAGGGAGCUGUAUGUAAGAAGUUCCAGGUAGUCACAGGAUGGAGCAUAAUGUGGAUUUAUAGCUGUUACUUCACUUUUCUAUAGUAUAUCCCAAGAGUGUUCUGAGGCAUUGCAUUCUUUAAUAAGCAGAAAGUGCUCUGAGAUUUUUCUAAUGAAAAUGAUAUAGGAGCACACAGUGUUAUUAUUAAAGCCUCUUCCUUUUUCUCUGGGAACUGCUAAAACACAUU